GUGCUCCCUUUGGCAGCACAUAUACUAAAAUUGGAGCAAUACAGAGAAAAUUAGCAUGGCCUCUGAGCAAGAAUGACACACAAAUUCAUGAAGCGUUCCAUAUAUAA
rnacentral:snRNA from 1 species